rnacentral:rRNA from 1 species
GACGUAGGGGGCCAGCGUUGCUCGGAAUUACUGGGCGUAAAGGGUUCGUAGGCGGUGCGGCAAGUUGGGAGUGAAAUCUCUGGGCUUAACUCAGAGGCUGCUUCCAAAACUGCCGUGCUCGAGUGCGGGAGAGGCGAGUGGAAUUGCAGGUGUAGCGGUGAAAUGCGUAGAUAUCUGCAGGAACACCCGUGGCGAAGGCGGCUCGCUGGACCGCAACUGACGCUGAGGAACGAAAGCUAGGGGAGCAAACAGG